GAAAUGCGAUAAGUAAUGUGAAUUGCAGAAUUCAGUGAAUCAUCGAAUCUUUGAACGCACCUUGCGCUCCUUGGUAUUCCGAGGAGCAUGCCUGUUUGAGUGUCAUGGAAUUCUCAACUCUAUUUGCUUUUGUGAAUAGAGCUUGGAUUUGGAGGUUUAUUGCUGGUACUUGUGAUCGGCUCCUCUUGAAUGCAUUAGCUCGAACCUUUGCGGAUCAGCUAUCGGUGUGAUAAUUGUCUACGCCGUUGCAGUGAAGCAUAUCAAUGGGCUCGGCUUCCGAUCGUCCUUUACUGGACAAUGACUUUGACCUUUGACCUCAAAUCAGGUAGGAUUACCCGCUGAACUUAAGC
rnacentral:misc_RNA from 1 species